UUUCAACAAAUGCAGAAAUUUUGAAAUGCCCUCUGACUCAACAGUCUUUUUCCACCCCCACCCCACCCGUGACUCACUGACCAACACUCCACAGUCCACAGACACUCCACAUUCAACAGUCCACUCCAGUUACUCCAUAGUCAAGACUUCGUCCCCGUCUCCCACUCUCCCCGACUCCCUUCCCCUUUUCCCAGUAGAUUAAAAAAGCACUUUCCCCCCGAUCCGGAGCGUUCUUGGCGAGAUGAAAAGUCUGCAAUUCUGCAUAGACAACGAAGCAACGAAGCAUUCCAGGAUUGCUGGUGUAACCGUGUAAGAUUAUCUUUAACUAAGCUUCUUAAUUAUAUGAAAUUUUGAGAGAAAACUGAAUGUGAAGGGAAUUUAGGUGUAAUUUAUCUAAGUAUUCUGUGAAUUUAGGUGUAAGAUUGCUGGUUCUCAAUGUUUUAAGGUUUUUUAUAUUUUGCAUUUAAUUCUCCAGAGAAAACUGCAAGCGUUAGUAGUAAUUUAUUCCUAAUGUCUUUUGCAGUACUUCUGUUGAAUGAAUAUAACCUAGCACUUGAUAAGUUCCUGAUGUGUGAAUUAAAACCAUAUUUGAUUAGAGUUGGAUAGGUGGAGAGGAUGAUAAUUUGGAAAGUUUGAGCUUUUGAGGGAGUUUAUACAUGCUCAUAUAUAGCCAUGGCCACCAUUGUUGACACUUGAGGAGAUUGGAUUAGAAGAGUGGAAAAUGUUCAUCAGACCCCAUUAGUUUAGUAAUAUGGAAUAAAACACCAGUUUUCUGUGUUGAUAAGAUAAUAUUUUUUUUUUGUUGAAUCUAUGCAUCUAUGCUUAAUAUAGAAUAAAAUACAGUGCUUUGUAAUUCAAAUUGUGCUUAAUACAAAUUGUGAAUCCUUUAGAUGGUAAUGAUUUUGAUGACUGUUUUAGGAAUAAUGAGGGAGAUAAAGGUAAAGAGGGUGUGUUUAGUUUACAUGACACACCUACAAAUUGUUUGUUUUAGGUUUGUUAACUUUUAGUUAUUGAAAUUCUAUGACAUGUAUGAAUUUUUAUUUCAAUUAUGUAUUUUAAGAUGUUUGGAUAUUUGUAUUGUUAAAAUAUUUUACUUGCGAUUUUACGAUUUUAGUUAAAAUAUUUUACUUGUAGUUU